UUAAAAGCCAGCAUCACCCGCUGGACACGUUUCCUGCUGCCAUGGUGCUCAUUUCUCUGACUGCCUCUCUUCUUACUCCUUCCUCUUUAUUCUCUCAGAUCAGAGACUAUUUUCUCUGUGUCCCCAGAGCACUGUAACUGUGCCUUAUUGAAUCACACUGCUAUUAUCUGUUUAUAGGUCUGAAUCUCUCACCAGAUUGAGAUGCUAUCGAUGCUGGGACUAUGUCAUAUAUCUCUUUUUAUCCUUGGUUCCAAGUCCACGAACCAGGGCCUCAGAUUCAGUGGGAAUGAAGUGGAGGCCCAGAAAGAAUCAUGUCCAGGUGAAGCUCUACCAUUCCCAGCAGUAUUUGAGGACUGGUCGGUGUUCAGCAGCAGCCCCAGCCAGGACCUCCCAGGGGACCCAAGACGGGAUAGGAUGGAGAAGUGGAACCAGGCCCUCUGACCCUAUCCCAGCACUGGAAACUGGCGAGAGCAGGCUAUCCUUCCAGGCCAGGCCUAGGGACAGAUUAACAUCAAGAAUGGGCAGAAACCUCUGUUCCCCGC
rnacentral:lncRNA from 10 species